rnacentral:rRNA from 1 species
UACGGGGGGGGGCAAGCGUUUGUUCGGAAUUACUGGGCGUAAAGGGCGCGUAGGCGGCCUGCUAAGUCACACGUGAAAUCCCUCGGCUCAACCGGGGAACUGCGUGUGAUACUGGCGGGCUCGAAUUCGGGAGAGGGAUGCAGAAUUCCAGGUGUAGCGGUGAAAUGCGUAGAUAUCUGGAGGAAUACCGGUGGCGAAGGCGGCGAUCCUGGACCGACAUUGAUGCUGAGGAGCGAAAGCUAGGGGAGCAAACGGG